UUCAAGUUAAUUUCCGAUGACGUUUUGGAAAUGAUUUCGUGGUCGUGGACACGAGUACGAAGCUUAGAGGAGUGUGGAAUUAGUUCGAACGAUUUUAUUUUGAAAACUGAACGUUUUAGGGGGGUCAAAGGAGUUGACUUUUUAUACAUUGGGAAAUUGGGAAAACUUCCUUCAUGAAAGUUGUAGAGCGCGUCGAUACGAGUUCGUGGACAUAUGGAACGUAAUAUUCGGAGUUCGUAUGAAUAAGUUACGAAUAUUUGAAAAUUGGGAUUUUCUAUAAAUAUGAAAAAAAAUCCGAAUAUUGCAAAUGAGGACAGAAUUUCUGGAACUCCAGAAAUUUCUCCCCAUUUCUCUCCCGAGCCCAGCCGCGACCCCCUCCCUUCGUCACCUUCGUUCUUCCUCAUCCGGCCACCGAUUGAUGUGAAACAAAGUGGGUUUUUCUGGUCUCGACCCCCUUUACGAGUUUGUAGAAGAAAUCGAAGUGAAAUACGAGCUGUAUGAGGCUCUACAAGGUCGAGAAGAGAGCCUCGUCGGAGACGAAAUCGCUCUUCCCCACUUUUUCUGGGCUCUACUUUGUCUGGCCAUAUCUUCCUCUACAGGCCUCCGAUCGACCUGAUUCCAAAAGCAAUUUUUCUCACCGUGAAGUUUUCUACAACUUUCCAGAAGACAUCGACUUGAGAUAACCAUCGUGGUGGCCGCUAGAAGACCGAGAAGCCGCACAGCCGAGCUGGAAAUCGUCUUCCUUCGCCACCUUGGUUCUCCCAGCUCCGGCCACUAUAGCUCGAGUUCUUUGAGGGCUUUUCUAGCCCAGAGGAAGUAGAAGCUAUCCCCAAGAAGGCUUGCAGCGAUUUGAUCCGGGGUGAUCGAAUUUUGAAGAUUGGGAAACUAGGGUUCUUCGGGUUUCAAAACUUGCGAGGUGAUUGACGGUCUCCCUUGGGUGAACGAUUUCGGUGUGUAUUGUGUUGAAUUGAAGACGCAGCGGGAAUAUCGAGCGGGUAAUCCUGCAGGUCAGGAGAAUCAGGACGGUGAUCGUGCGGGUUAGAGAAUUUGUUUUAGUUUUACAGCAAUUGUAAUUGUGAGGUGAGUUAUGCUCAUUUGAGCCUUACAAUAUAAUUUGGUGAGAGUGUGCUGUAAUAAACAAAUUUGAGAUUUGGUUUAUGUAAUAUCGAGCGAUGUGAGGUGUGGUUGUUUUGAGAAAAAAUUCAGGUUGUAUUUAUGUGAGUUGUAUUAAUUCAUGUUUCGGAUUUGGAUUUGUUAUUCAAAAUCCGGGGC